AUUGAACGCUGGCGGCAUGCCUUACACAUGCAAGUCGUACGGUAACGCGGGGCAACCUGGCGACGAGUGGCGAACGGGUGAGUAAUGUAUCGGAACGUGCCCAGUUGUGGGGGAUAACUGCUCGAAAGAGCAGCUAAUACCGCAUACGACCUGAGGGUGAAAGCGGGGGAUCGCAAGACCUCGCGCAAUUGGAGCGGCCGAUAUCAGAUUAGGUAGUUGGUGGGGUAAAGGCUCAACAAGCCAACGAUCUGUAGCGGGUCUGAGAGGACGACCAGCCACACUGGGACUGAGACACGGCCCAGACUCCUACGGGAGGCAGCAGUGGGGAAUUUUGGACAAUGGACGCAAGUCUGAUCCAGCCAUGCCGCGUGCGGGAAGAAGGCCUUCGGGUUGUAAACCGCUUUUGUCAGGGAAGAAACGCUCUGGGUUAAUACCUCGGGGUAAUGACGGUACCUGAAGAAUAAGCACCGGCUAACUACGUGCCAGCCGCCGCCGUAA
rnacentral:rRNA from 1 species